AAACAUGUCUGGAGUAAAAUUAAAUGGUACAUUUUCAGGCUUUUCAGAGUGACAAACUGGCCCAUACAGAUCACGUCUCCACCAAAGGUGGCUAUUUCAGAAGUGCAUGGCUACUUAUCAUCAUAAGCAGACACUGCCAUCCAGCUUUGCUAAAGUGUUAUCAUGUAUUUCUCUGAACAGAUUUUCCAUGAGCUCAGAUAGUUGAAUCAAGGCUGCAUGCACCAGUUAUUUACGCUCACUUGAUUUCGAGAACCAAAUUAUAAGCACAUGUUCACUGUGCAGUUGACCCACAAAUACGGUUUCCUUAUUGCUCUUUACUAGCAAUUGUUAUGUGUUGCAUUAGUGAAAAGAGAUGUAUUACUUCAGACAAACAAAGGGACAGGAGCACCUCUCCUGUGAGAAUAGUCUGAGAGAGCUAGAACUGUUCUGCCUGGAGAAGAGAAGGCUCAGAGGAAUCCCAUCCAUGUAUAUGAAUACCUGAUGAGAGGGAAGGAAUGAAAGGAUGAAAGGCAAUGAGCACAGAUUGAACCUGAAUGGAAGAAAAUACACUUUUUACUGCCAGGAUGAUCAGACACUGGCAGAGGUGGCUGAGAGAUUGUGUGGUAUCUGUAUGUGGAGAUGUUCGGAACUCAACUAGACAUGGUGCUGGACAACUUACUCUAUGUGACUCUGCUUGAGCAGGGGUGGUAGACUCAACUAUGUGGCUGUGAUUCUGUUAGUCCUCACUUUUGUUCUGCCUCCCACUAGGUUCCUGGGGUAAUAAUAAUUUUGAAGAAAAGUGUUCUGCCACCCAGAGAGGCAUUACAUGAGGCAGAGGAGAGUGGGCUGCUGAAGGAGACAGCGGCAGCCGUUUGACCUACCAGUCCCCUCCAGCCACCAACUGCAGCCACGGGCCAUACCCAGUCCUUUCAGCAGUGCUGGUGCCCCUGGGGCUGUGUGCAACAGCAGCCAAGAGGGGAUCAGGAGGAAAGCCUGAAUGCUCCUUGCUGGCCUAUGGGACAAAAAGAUCCACUUACAGAGGGACACAGCAUGUGGGAUCCAGGUUCGUUCCAUGGGUUACAGAUGUGCAAGUUUACAAUGUAAGUGGAAAUAACGUUCCUGGCUUAGGAAGAGCUUUAGGGCAGAUAAAAUGGAGUCAUGAUGUGAGCUGGAGAGAGGA
rnacentral:lncRNA from 1 species